rnacentral:rRNA from 1 species
UACGUAGGGGGCAAGCGUUGUCCGGAUUUAUUGGGCGUAAAGAGCUCGUAGGCGGUUCGGUAAGUCGGGUGUGAAACCUCCAGGCUCAACCUGGAGACGCCACCCGAUACUGCUGUGACUAGAGUCCGGGAGAGGUGAGUGGAAUUCCGAGUGUAGAGGUGAAAUUCGUAGAUAUUCGGAAGAACACCAGUGGCGAAGGCGGCUCACUGGACCGGCAUUGACGCUGAGGUGCGAAAGCGUGGGGAGCAAACAGGG